AUUUUUUCCAAUACUUAUUAUUCCUUGUGAAAAUAAUUAAAAUAUUCACUGAAAACGCAUUUGUUAUCAAAUGUGAUAGCAUGUAUCGCAAAUCUUCGCUAUGUGCAAGAUGUAUAGCAAGGGAAAGUCCAAUUCUAUUUUUAGCCAACCACUGGCCAUAUAUAGUAACACGUGUUCACACAGUUCUAGUAUUCCUAAUGUAAAUCCAUGAAUAAUACGUGCAGAUUUAAAGUUUCCAAAACACAUGGAUUACGAAAUUUUUACACAUCCACUAUCACAUAAAUUUUCUAUCC
rnacentral:lncRNA from 1 species